AGGCUUAACACAUGCAAGUCGAGCGGGCGUAGCAAUACGUCAGCGGCAGACGGGUGAGUAACGCGUGGGAACGUACCUUUUGGUUCGGAACAACACAGGGAAACUUGUGCUAAUACCGGAUAAGCCCUUACGGGGAAAGAUUUAUCGCCGAAAGAUCGGCCCGCGUCUGAUUAGCUAGUUGGUGAGGUAAUGGCUCACCAAGGCGACGAUCAGUAGCUGGUCUGAGAGGAUGAUCAGCCACAUUGGGACUGAGACACGGCCCAA
rnacentral:rRNA from 14 species